CAGCUAGUUGGUAAGGUAACGGCUUACCAAGGCGAUGACGGGUAGCUGGUCUGAGAGGAUGAUCAGCCACACUGGAACUGAAACACGGUCCAGACUCCUACGGGAGGCAGCAGUGGGGAAUCUUGCGCAAUGGACGAAAGUCUGACGCAGCCACGCCGCGUGAGUGAAGAAGGCCUUCGGGUUGUAAAGCUCUGUCGGAGGGGACGAAAAUGCUUAGGGUUCACAGCCCUAGGAACUGACGGUACCCUUAAAGGAAGCACCGGCUAACUCUGUGCCAGCAGCCGCGGUAAUACAGAGGGUGCAAGCGUUGCUCGGAAUCAUUGGGCGUAAAGGGCAAGUAGGUGGUCUCAUUUGUCUAGGGUGAAAUCCUUGAGCUUAACUCAAGAAGUGCCCUAGAAACGGUGGGACUAGAGUUCUGGAGAGGGUCGUGGAAUUCCCGGUGUAGCGGUGAAAUGCGUAGAGAUCGGGAGGAACACCAGAGGCGAAGGCGGCGACCUGGACAGACACUGACACUCAACUGCGAAAGCGUGGGGAGCAAACAGGAUUAGAUACCCUGGUAGUCCACG
rnacentral:rRNA from 1 species